rnacentral:tRNA from 1 species
AUGGAUGUAGCUCAGUGGUAGAGCACAUGCUUGGUGUGCAUGAGUUCCGAGGUUCAAUCCUCAGCACGCAAG